CAGCUGGGUGGAGAGUUUAGGAGAGAAGCCACUCCUGAGCACCCCCUGCUUCUGAGUCCAGGAACUCCCCCUCAGGACGGUAUCACGGCGUCUCCAGACUCCAUCACUCUGAUAGAGACUGAACCCAUCACCAUCCCCUCAGCAGAGUUUGAAGGGGCGGAGCUCGCUGAGGUCACACAUCAAGACAUGGGGAUGAUUGACUUGCUGAUGGACCAGUUGGAUCACUU